rnacentral:rRNA from 1 species
AUGACUGCUCUAAACACCUUUUGUGAUUCAGAUUCUUGCGCCCCCAGAUACAAGCCAAGCAGAACGGGCCUCCACAGGCCUCGUGCACAAAGCUCGAUCAUGGCCACAGCGGCGGCGCGGUUACUCAUCGCCUGCCUCAACGUCGCCUUCUUGCUCAUGGCCUUCUUCUUCUGCGUCUCGCGCCCUGCCGUGCCGCGGGAUUCGGCGACGUCCAUGAACGGCUGGAGCGGCGACGAGCGCGAGGGGCACGGCCAUGGCGGCGGCUGCGACGGUGCUCACCGGCGGCUGGAGGUUGACAAGGACAGGUGCGGCUACGACGCCGCUACAUCAUCGUCAGUUGCCGGCCGGUGCUACCCGCGGGGACGGGGCUACGUCGAUUACCUGUACCUGUUCUACUGCGUCUGCGGCGACGAGCACCGGGCCCUUGGGUACGCCGCGAUGGCCGCGUGGCUCGCCGUGCUCUUCUACGUCCUGGGCGACACCGCGGCGGUCUACUUCUGCUCCAGCCUCGAGGGCCUCUCGCGGCUGCUCCGCCUGUCCCCGGCCGUGGCCGGCGUGACGCUCCUGUCGCUGGGCAACGGCGCGCCGGACGCGCUCUCCACCGUCGCCUCCUUCGCGUCGGGCGGCACCGGGAAGGGAGCGAGCACCGCCGUGGGGCUCAACGGCUUGCUCGGCGGCGCGCUGUUCGUGUCCUCCGCCGUGCUCGGCGUCAUCUGCCUCCGCGUCGGCGGCCGCGGCGUCGCCAUCGACAGAGGCAGCUUCUUCCGGGACGCGUGCUUCCUCCUCAUCGCCCUCGCCGCCGUCGCCGUUGUCCUCGCCGCGGGCGAGGUCAGCAUUUGGGGCGCCCUCGCCUUCACCUCCCUCUACCUCGUAUACGUCCUCGUCGUCGUCUUUAUCCACGGCAGAUCGCACGACGGAGAGGCAGAGGCGGCGUGGGUCGACACCACCGCCUCGUCGGAGCUCUGCAACGUCGUGGAGACGGAUUUUUACCCCGACCAAGAACCGCUGCUCCCCGAAAGGGCGCCCCUCCUGCAGUACUACGCCGGCGACGCAACGAAGAAAAAGAAGGGCGUGUUCUGGUCGGCGGUGCGCGUGCUGGAGCUACCUCUGUACCUCCCGCGGCGGCUGACCAUACCGGACGCGAGCGAGGAGCGGUGGAGCAAGCCGGCCGCGGUCGCCGCGGCGACCCUUUCCCCUGUCUUCCUCUCUUGCCUCUGGAGCCACGCCACCGGGAGCCCGCCCCUCGCCCUCCUCCUCGGCGGCAUCGCCGGCCUGUCCCUGGGCCUCCUCGCCUUCCUCAGCACGGAGGCUGAUGCCCCGCCGACGAAAUUCCUCUCGGCCUGGCUCGCCGGUGGGUUCGUCAUGAGCGUGGCCUGGGAGUACGUCAUCGCGAACGAGCUCCUCUCCCUUCUUGUGUCCGCCGGCCUGGUGCUGGGUGUGGAUCCGGCGACGCUGGGGAUGACAGUUCUAGCAUGGGGCAACUCGCUGGGCGACCUCAUCGCGAACGUGGCCGUGGCCGUGGCGGCGCGCCGCGGUGGAGCCCAGGUGGCCGUAGCAGGUUGCUACGGCGGGCCGGUGUUCAACGUCCUCGUGGGGCUGGGCCUGUCUCUGUUGCUGUCUUGCUGGGCCGGGUACCCGAAGCCCGUAGCGAUACCCUGGGAGCCCAGGCUCUACCAGACGCUAGGCUGGGUGGCUGCUGGGCUUUUGUGGGCCUUCUUCAUGCUCCCGAGAAGGGGCAUGAAGGUGGGUAGGACACUGGGCUUUGGGCUCCUGGCCAUAUACUUGUGUUUCUUGUGUACUACUCCCUCCCUUUUUGCUUAA